rnacentral:tRNA from 1 species
AACAAUAUAGUUUAAGCAUAAGAAUUGGUGUUCUGCAAACAUUAGGUAGGAUUUUCUUGUUGUUG